CAGUAGCCGCGGUAAUACAGAGGAUGCAAGCGUUAUCCGGAAUUAUUGGGCGUAAAGGGCUCGCAGGCGGUUUCUUAAGUCUGAUGUGAAAGCCCCCGGCUCAACCGGGGAGGGUCAUUGGAAACUGGGAAACUUGAGUGCAGAAGAGGAGAGUGGAAUUCCACGUGUAGCGGUGAAAUGCGUAGAGAUGUGGAGGAACACCAGUGGCGAAGGCGACUCUCUGGUCUGUAACUGACGCUGAGGAGCGAAAGCGUGGGGAGCGAACAGGAUUAGAUACCCGGGUAGUCCCUGUCUCUUAUAC
rnacentral:rRNA from 1 species